AUACGGAGGGGGCUAGCGUUGCUCGGAAUUACUGGGCGUAAAGGGCGCGUAGGCGGAUUUUUUAGUCAGGCGUGAAAGCCCCGGGCUCAACCCGGGAACUGCGUUUGAUACUGGAAGUCUAGAGAUCUGGAGAGGGUGGUGGAAUUCCCAGUGUAGAGGUGAAAUUCGUAGAUAUUGGGAAGAACACCGGUGGCGAAGGCGGCCACCUGGCCAGACACUGACGCUGAGGUACGAAAGCGUGGGGAGCAAACAGGAUUAGAAACCCCGGUAGUCC
rnacentral:rRNA from 1 species